UCUCGGACGCCGCCAACCGCGCCCCGACGCGGGAGCCCAGCGGGACGACGGGACGCGCAACGCGCACGCGCAAAAGGGAGGAGCUCCCAACCGCCGCGGCAGGGCUGCUCGAGGACAUGGCCCCGCCCCAACCGGUGCUCAGUGACGCUCCGGCGGCGGGCGGUGCGGAUGUGGUGGUGUUGGGAGCAAGCACAGGAUCGGGUUAGUUGAGCGCUGAGUGCCCUCCUCCAUAGGUGGCCUUGGAACACCCAGCUGGGGAGGUUGGGGGAGGCCGUGCGCCCCAUCCCUCGAAGAGGCUUCUUUUUAAAAUUUUAAAAAAUUGUUCUUUAACAUACACAUGACAGUAGAGUGUGUUGACUUAUCAUCGUACAGGGUGUAACUUCCCUUCUCCUCGUGGUUGUACACCAUGUGAAGGGACACUGGUCGUGUGUUCACAUCGGAGCACAGGACAGUCACCUCCCUCCCUUCUGCCGUCUUUCCCGCUCCUAUCCCCACUUUCCCUUCGCCCCGCUUCGUCGGAUCCAGUGAACUUCUACUCUCCGCUCCCCUCGUACUGUGGGUCGGCGUCCGCAGAUCAGAGAGAAGAUUCGGCCUUUGGUUUUUUUGGGAUUGGCUUAGCAUGAUAGUCUGGGAG
rnacentral:lncRNA from 1 species